rnacentral:rRNA from 1 species
GAUGAACGCUGGCGGCGUGCCUAAUACAUGCAAGUCGAGCGAACGGACGCGAAGCUUGCUUCUCUGAUGUUAGCGGCGGACGGGUGAGUAACACGUGGAUACCCUACCUAUAAGACUGGGAUAACUUCGGGAAACCGGAGCUAAUACCGGAUAAUAUUUUGAACCGCAUGGUUCAAAAGUGAAAGACGGUCGUGCUGUCACUUAUAGAUGGAUCCGCGCUGCAUUAGCUAGUUGGUAAGGUAACGGCUUACCAAGGCAACGAUGCAUAGCCGACCUGAGAGGGGGAUCGCCCACACUGGAACGGGGACACGCUCCAUACUCCUGCGGGAGGCACCAGUGGGGAAUCUUCGGCAAUGGGCGAAAGCCUGACGGAGCAACGCCGCGUGAGUGAUGCAGGUCUUCGGUUCGUAAACCUCUGUUAUUAGGGAAGAACAUCUUUGUACGUAACUGUGCACAUCUUGACGGUACCUAAUCAGAAAGCCACGGCUAACUACGUG